GCCCUUGGGUGUAUGCGCUUUGGGAAUUUUCAGUCAGUUCUCAGGGUGUAACGCCAACUGACUUGCUCAAGGCCAAGCCAGAUAUCUUUUUCUCCCCCUCCUCCUUCUUUUUAUCUUUAUUUUAAAGAUAAGCAACUUUGUUUUCUCGGCAAACCCCACCCACUUGUUUUCAUUUCUGGCUUUCUCUUCUCUCCAGCUAGUGAAGACCGAGCAUGUGCCCCGGAGAAGAUCACUCUGGGUGGUGAGGACCAUCCUCUUUGGAACUGUGGUUGUAGCUGCCAAGGAGUAGCCAACAAGCACCAGAUUUAUGUGCACUUUGAAAGAAGCACCUUUACCAUUGGCUUUUUGAGCGGCGCUGUCGCUAGGGAGCGAGCACCGCCUGGGGAGCAGCCUGGGCACUGGCUCCUAGCAGCCCGGGAGCAGGGCGCACACCGUGGCGCGCUUUGGGCGGCUCCGCGCACUGUCACCCCUGCGGCCGGCACUGUCCCCCAGAUCGGCUUCCAGAGGCGCUGCACAGACUCUCGCCUCUGGCCACGGGCUCCUACUGCUGCCGCCCAGAGGACAGACGAGCCUCUGCCCGUGAUUUCCCCGUGGCGCGGCGCUGCGGAAAGCCGAGCGGGUGGGCGCGAGCUGCAGGACGCGAUGGAGUUCUCUCCUCGCCUUGGAGUUGCCUGAGUUAGUAGAGCCUCGCAGGGUUCCCUGCUCCUUGCUCCCUGUUUCCUUCCGCUCGCAGCUUAUCAUUCGCUCUGUUGCUAUCCAUCGCUGUGCCAGGGAGCCCAGGCUCCAGACCUCCUGUCCCGGGUACAUUUGGGGGCAAAGGAGGGUUAUACUCAGCCAAGGUGCACUGUCUUCUCUCCGCUGACCCAUCUUUUUCUCCAUGGCGUCUCGUCAACAAACCCGAAUCCAGGCUUACCUGGAGAAAAACAGGAUCGGUCCUCUGUUUGAGGAAUUAAUGACCAAGCUAAUAACUGAGACACCUGACCAGCCAAUCCCAUUUCUCAUUGAUCAUCUUCAGUCUAAACAAGGGAGCCGAGGACAACUGCAAAGAACCUUGUCUGGGUCAGCAGCUCUCUGGGCAGAAAGUGAAACAUCAGAACCCAAAGGAACAAGAAGGGAUUUCAGAAGCUAUGAUAAACCUUGGCAGUUGAAUGCAAAGAAGCCUAAAAAAUCAAAAAGUGACCUUGCUGUGUCUAAUAUUUCUCCUCCAUCACCAGACUCAAAAUCAUUGCCAAGGUCAGUAGAACAUCCUAAGUGGGACUGGCGGACUAAACCACAAAGCCGUGAUUUUGAUGAAUUGAACCACAUCCUUCAAGAGAGCAAGAAGCUGGGGAAAGCCCUUGAGAAUCUCUCUCGAAGUAUUGCAAUUUCAGAUGAACUUGAUAAGGAGACAGUGGCUUUCAAUUCUUCUCUUCUGAGACCCCGCGUGAUUGGGGAGUGGAUUGGCAGAGCGGAAAAUGAUGCUGAUCCCCUGGCAGCUGAAAUGCUGCAGCCCCCGGUUCCACGGAAUAAGAAUGACCCAUGGGAAAGUGAAGAGAGCAGCUCCAGCCCAGCAGGAAGCUUAAAGAUGGAGCCCAAGACUAAAGGAUUAAAACAGCAGCAGCAGCAGCAUAAGAAACUUCUGGCUGCGAUGCUUUCCCAGGAUUCCUUCGAGUCCAUCCAUAGCCCCACGCCAUCUGUAAUAGAAGAAGACAUUGACAAUGAAGACGAUGCAAUGGAGUUGUUGGAAGAUCUGGAUGACUUGAGAAUGGAGGGCGUCACCACCCUGGUACUUUCCGGGAGCAAAUUUAACCAAGGUCGUUCUACUCACCCUGCCGAGCCACAAGCCAAAGUCACACUGAACAUCUGUUCAAGGUGUGCCAGGCUUCAAGGAGACAAUCUGAUGGAAAGGCCAGAAGACACAUUACAGCUAUUUCAUUCUCCAGAGGAGAUAAUCCCAGAUUCAUUGGAUUCUUUACCUGGGACUGAAGAAACUCUCAUGGAGGAAGGUGAAGAUUUUGAGAAAACAUCAAAAUCAACAGAACUUGGAGAAGACUCCAGUGGAGGACACUCUUUGAAAUCCUACAUGGAGGAAGAUGAGUCUCUAAAGCAAUUGCAGGUUGUGCAUCAGCCAUGGCUCCUGCCAAGUGACACAGAAAGUGAAGGAGUUGAAGCAGAGCAGGAUACAUGUUCUGCUGAUCUUCUUUGUGUCCCGUGCUCUUCUUGUCCCACCCUGAUCUACUCCGGUCUAUCUGUGAAACAGGCAAAAGACAUUUCAAGUGGUCCUUAAGGAGACGGUAGCUGACUGAAUCCAUACAAAUUGUCCCAAUUUGAAGUACUAUAUGAAAUCUAUAAAGAAAUAUUAUUUUUCUAACAUAAACAAUAAACAAACACUCAUGUAAUGAGGGUAUGCACCCAUCUAUAGUCAGAGAAUUCAGGAAAAGUGGUCUAGUGAUCAUGGAAUCUGAUACCUUUCAAUCUGGUCAGUGUCUUGGGUUUAUGUUACCUUAUAUGUAGUUAUUAAAAUUAAUGUUUGAUAUAGUAAAUAUUGCCUGAAUCAAAUAUUUAAAUUUUCUGAAUCUUGAUUUAGCUAGGAUUUUCUACCUCUAUUUUUAUAAUGGCAUCUUAUCUUUUGGAUCAAUAAGCAUUGCACUUGCCCACAUAUGCCAAGAUACAGCUCUAGUCCCAGGCAGCAGUUGACUGUGUGGCAGUAGCCGCUGAGAUGGAAACUCUCUGCACCAGGAAGAAAUGUUUUCCCCAUCACUGCCCCUACAUGGUUAUAGUCCCCAUUCUUAUUAAAACAUGACUAUUACUUCAGCAAGACAAAACAACAAAUAAUGAAAUGCAUGCCCUCAGAGCACUUGCAAGGAAAAUCACUGAUCAUUUAUGCAAUUACAGAGCCACAUUAAGAUUAUUCAGUUUAAAUCUGAUUUCUGCUUACUUUUGGAAUGUGCUAUGUGUUGAUUCUAAUGAAUGGAUCUCAGUGAAUCUAUUGACUAUAUCUGCUAUCUUUUAUUUGUCUUAAUGCAAAUUUUUUGGUGGACUUUAAUGAAUGCAGGCUAAAUUAUAAAACUCUUUGUAUAGCUAUAAAGGAAACAACUGUUGAAGACUAGAAAAUAGUUAAGGAAUAAACAAGCAAUUUCUGACUUCUGAAUUAACUCAUAUUCACAAAUAUAAAUAACAAAAUUAUAAGUUAUAUAAUAAAUUUUCUUACAUCGUUGUUUUCUUACAUGAUGAAACUCAUUUAAGUAAUAACUAUUUUUAUGGAUAGGAAUAAAUUAAAGCUUCACUAUUAAUUGCUGCUCAUGGAUGGGACAGAGACCAGGUUUAUUUUGGCUUGUUUUUUUGGAGGUUUCAGAGCAUGCUCUACUGACUCCUUUGCCUUUGGUCUGUGGCAGAGCAGAUUGUCAUGGCAGAAAAAGUAUGAGACAUGAGCUUACCCCCUUCAUGGAGGCUCAGAAGCAUAGAUGUUGAGAGGCAGGAAUGAGAUCACCUUUUAAUGACUCACUUCCUUUAUCCAGGCCCAGCAUUACAGUUUCCACUACAUUUUGAUAACCCAUUCAACUGUGGAUUCAUUAACAGAUUAGGCCAUUGAUAUUGGUUCAAUACUUUAAGAUCCAAUCACUUCCCCAGAACCUCACCUCUGAAAAUAUUAUUGGUAACCCUACAAGUCUUAGAGAGGGGACAUUUUUUAACCAAAUUAUAUUAUAUUAACAGCUGAGAAAAUAGUGAGUUUUUUAAGCAAAAAGCAAGAAGGCAGGAUAUUAAGUUUACAGGAUCAGAAUAUUUAUUUAAAAAUCUGCAUCAUGAAAUGAAGCUUCAAAAAGGUUCAACUGAGGAUUUAAAUUAUUCUCCUCAUUAGACAUUUUCUUUCUUUAAAACAUAACAUCAAUCAUGUGUUUAUCUGAGCCACAUUCUCCUCCAACAAUGGCUUAUUCCAACUUGGUCCCCCUCUCGCCAACUGGCUUACCUCCAGACUCUCAGCCUCUUUGUCCCACAUGGAUCUCAGGAAUCACAUGCUCCAGGAUGCAAGAAUGGCUAGCACUGAGUGCAUUGUGGAGGAUGAGCCAAGGCAGACCCCAAAUGAAAGACUCAGAGCCUGAAAGAACUCAGAACUCGGAAGGAAAUCAAUACCACAGAAGAAAGAGAACAUGGCUUGUGGUGUUCCUGACUGAGUCAAGUCCAAGACACACUGGAAAGCUACACAGCAGCCCAGUUUUGUGUGAUUUCCAACCUGAUAGCCAGACCAAAGAGGUUAGCUGUGACAAAUGGCCUCUCCAAAAUGAACUUGACUUUUUGUAUUAACGUCUCUUCCAAACUAGCAUGUAAAUAUCCUUUCCCAAACCCAAAGGAUAUGCCAUUACAGACUCCUAAGUAAUACACUAACCCCUUCUCUGGUACAUGUCAGAGUUAAUGACAUAAUCUGUAGCUGGAAUUCUGUGUUUAUUAAAGACCCUUAGGGUAGUCUAUAAGAUUAAAUCAAAGUUACAUUUUGUGACAUGUUGCAAAUAACAAGCUGAUAUUUCAGAAUAAAAUGCUCUUCCUUGUGGUAUAUACCUACACCUAAUUGUAAUUGAUCUCUCUGUGACUGAUUCUAAGCUACCAACAUCUUAUCACUUACCACACAGCAGGGAAGUGAUGUAUAUAAAGUAGACCCUUAUAAGUCCUGUGAACUCGCUCCAGAAAUUCCCUUGCAUCUGAUCCUGUAUAAAUAAUACUCAGAGAAAUGUGUCUCUUGCUCAACUUAAGGGACAAAUUGGGAUAAGAAUUAGGAAUGGGAAGGAGGAGUCAUGACUUUGAACAACUUUCAUUUUAAGUAUUUGUGGAAUCACAUACAAAUUCUGGUUUAAUACUUGCAACAUCUAGAAAUUUAAAGGGUGAUCAGGAUACAAAAUUCUUUCUCUCCUUGGGACAUUCUUUCAAACCAAGUUGAUAGUUUCUAAUUUAGGGCACUAGAGGGUUAAUAGGUGAACUUAAAAGUAAGGUUAUGUUCCCAGAUUUCAAGGCCAGGGGGCUUUGUAACGCUUAAAUUACAGGAUAAUUUAGGGCCAAAUUGGGCUCUGGUGCCACAAGGUUAGGAUUGUGUCCAAGUGUUACUUAUCAUUAGUGCAAGAUAACUUUAUUAAGGUCUGACUCUACAUUCAGUUGCUGAAUCCAGCAUGGCUCUAAAUGGACCUGACAGGGGUACCAAAGGAAUAAAGAAAAGACAAACUCACACAAACCCAUGGGCACAGAGAAAUAGCUGGGAUUGGGUGGAAUAGUCUCUUUGGUAGAGAAACACCAGCACCCCAGAGGCUCCAAAUAUUUAUUUCAUAGAGCAGAACAGAGAGGAGGGCUAUUGCAUACAGGUGAACAAGGUCAGUGGUUAUGACUUUCAGAUAGAUGAAGAGGUGGGCUUUAUGGGGCAGCUGGAUCCAGAAGGCAGGCUGUAAAUAUCCAGUGGAGGAGGCUGUGGUAGACAUUUUCUGCACACACUAUGAACGUCCACACAUGGACCAGAAGGGAAGGUUUGCUAGUCCUCUGAGCCUCAUCCUGGGGAAAGACAUUGCUGUUUCCCCACUGGUCUGAGGCUAUGCUCCUUGAUGGGACCAGUUCAUGUCAGCAACACACAUUCACUCAGGACUUUACUCACUCAGGGCUUCUCCCACUCCCCACAUUCAGUUCUGUUAAGCACAAGUCACCAGCAUUUCUCCUUACUAUCUGAGGUUAUUUAUAGCAGAAUGAAGACUUUUACAACCCGUUUCUCAUUCCCAGUGCUCAUUGCUUAUUCAUAUUUGAAGCAAUAUUCUUUAUCUUACUGUAUGUUAUGCAUACUAAUCUUUCAACCAGUUUAUGUAGACCUUAUUUUCAUUUUACAAGUGCAACUGAAAAGAAAAAAUUAAGUUGCCAAAUUUCACAGUAAUACUUAUAACUGUUCAAGAGUCAGCUUUUUCUACAGUCAAGACCUUUGUUAUCCUGGAAGCACUUUUAUUAUCCUGGACAGCACAUUAAUUCAUAUCCUUUAGGCCAAGUUAUGGGCCAAGAAUAAAGAUGUUACUCCAUAAUGUGGAUUUGACAGUUUCAUCCAGAAAGAUCAAAUCCAGAGGAAUGGAACUUGGGGUUCAGUCACGAAGAUUGUGAGCUUGUGGAGUGUAUGUGACUCUGUAGGAAAACUCUAAGUAUUAACAUUACAUCAAGUGAUGACUUAAAAUAUACAAAGGGCUGAGGUCACAAUCUUCUGAUCCUUUAUUUGUUCUCAGCACUAAUGAGAGAGCAAUCUAUCUGAGGUAGGACGGGGGAGCUUAACAUUAUGGGUAUGUUGUUUGAGAAACAGCAAGACAAGUGUCCUGUUGCAAAUGACAUGGGUAGAAAGAGAUCUGGAGAAGGAGUCAAGUUCAGAGCUGAACUUGCUGGGUCUUUGGGGGAAGUCCUAUUGCUUGUCUGAGCUUCACUUUUAAAAUAGGAUUUGCAUUGCCCCUUAUAAGAUAUUGUCUUAUAAGACAUGGUUAAUUAUUACAUAAGCAAUUAUGAUUAGUGAUAGCUAUAAAGCAAAAAAUAAAUAGACAUGGAUUCAUUGUAUUUGUGGUAGAUUGUACCUGGCUUUUUUUUUGGGGGGGGGGAUAUGAGCAGCUCCCAAAUUGUG